GGUGGAAGUCCACCAACUGUCGGGGAGGGAGCAGCCACGCCAGUGGAUGGUGACGCCAGCGAGACAAUCUGGUUCAGGGGACGCUUACCUUCUAAGGGAGACUGCCGACCCUGAGGCGAGCCGAAGUAACGCCCGGCCGCUGCAACGCACGCAAAGAUGUCGGUUGUGCACCUGCAUAGCUUAAGGUACGUGCUAAUCCCCCAGGAAACUGGGCCACCCGUGCGAGGUCCGACAGGCCAAACACCGGUGGGACACCCGAGGUGUUGGUUAUGGAAUGCUGUGAUGCCCUUAGAUGUUCUGGGCUGCACGCGCGCUACACUGACAGAGCCAGCGAGUACAUACCUUGGCCGAAAGGUCUG
rnacentral:rRNA from 1 species